CCGUCUCUAUAUAUCCCGGCUCCGUCUCUAUAUAUCCCGGCUCCGUCUCUAUAUAUCCCGUCUCAGUCUCUAUAUAUCCCGGCUCUCAUCUACAACCCCAUUCAGAACCACUCUGGAGAUCUACAAAAGGCCUGUGAUUCAAUUUUGAAAGGCAGAGGCUCUAUCUCUCCAUCUCCUGUAAAGAUGGAAGAGAGGGAGUGGAAGAGGGUCGGGGAAGAGAGAGACCAUUGUGUGUCUGUCUCAGGGGUGUGCGACCGGAACACGAACAUGGCUUUAAUCUUACACGCGUUCAACAGCUGCUGUCCCGCUCCCCGUCGCCCCCCAGGUUAAAGAAUAGGAUUGAUUUGAUCAAUUUACAACACUUGAUUUGGAAACAGCGACACUCUCCUCCCUCCCCACCUUGCUCAUAGUGCCCUGUUGAUUGAAUGUAAUCUGAAAUUGAAGUGGGUGGUGGUGUAUUUAAAGGGAUAGUUCUCCCAAAUGACAUAUUGGUUUCCUUACCCUGUUAGUGGUCUAUGGACAAGGUGUAACAGCAAUCCAGACUUAUGUUUUAGCAUUUGUGGCACAAAUACCAUUCAUCCAUGGGACUGAUAUUAGCAUUUUUUCGCCUCAUGUUCAAAUCAUCUACAAAUGACUUUGUUGAGCUUCGCAAUCAAUUUGAGAUACUUUUUUAGAUACUUAAAACCUGUAACACCCACGUGUUAGAAUGAAGUCUUAGAUUUGGCAUAGUUCCUGCACUGUGCAGAAAUGAAUCCAUAAUUAGGAAUCUGUAAUUAUUUUCUAGUGUAUAUAUGAACUGUCAGACAUGUUUAAUAUUACAUAGCUAUGAUGUCUUGGUUAACUGUGUGUAAGAAGCUGAGCCAGACUGCGCACGUGGACACACACACUACAAUUAUCCUUCUCUUUAUCCAGAUAAAAUGUCAUUAUGAAACAGACAGUGAAGCUGACACCCAGACAGAAAUGUACCCUGGGUUACAGAUCAGUGAAGUGUGUCUGUAAUACUAGAUAAAUAUUCACUGACUGACUGUAGAGGUCACAGUAUGACGAGGGAAACCUGUUAGACUGCCGUGGUGCUGUUACUAUGGGCCUGCAAUCUGACAGCAAUUACACACACACACACACAUGUGCACACACAAACACCAAGAGAAAAUAUUUACACUCCUGUGAAAAUCAGUGUGAGACUGUGAGCUCAUCUGGAAGGUGUACAAUAGUUACUCCAUCAGACACAUGCAACAACUAGGUAUAUUAAUGGUUCAGAGAGUGUGUUUUUACUCCAUCAGGCACAUGCAGGUAUAUUAAUGGUUCAGAGAGUGUGUUUUUACUCCAUCAGGCACAUGCAACAACUAGGUAUAUUAAUGUUUCAGAGAGUGUGUUUUUACUUCAUCAGGCACAUGCAACAACUAGGUAUAUUAAUGUUUCAGAGAGUGUGUUUUUACUCCAGCAGACACAUGCAGGUAUAUUAAUGGUUCAGAGAGUGUGUUUUUACUCCAGCAGACACAUGCAACAACUAGGUAUAUUAAUGUUUCAGAGAGUGUGUUUUUACUCCAGCAGACACAUGCAGGUAUAUUAAUGGUUCAGAGAGUGUGUUUUUACUCCAGCAGACACAUGCAACAACUAGGUAUAUUAAUGUUUCAGAGAGUGUGUUUUUACUCCAGCAGAUACAUGCAACAACUAGGUAUAUUAAUGUUUCAGAGAGUGUGUUUUUACUCCAUCAGGCACAUGCAACAACUAGGUAUAUUAAUGUUUCAGAGAGUGUGUUUUUACUCCAGCAGACACAUGCAACAACUAGGUAUAUUAAUGUUUCAGAGAGUGUGUUUUUACUCCAGCAGACACAUGCAACAACUAGGUAUAUUAAUGUUUCAGAGAGUGUGUUUUUACUCCAGCAGACACAUGCAACAACUAGGUAUAUUAAUGUUUCAGAGAGUGUGUUUUUACUCCAUCAGGGACAUGCAACAACUAGGUAUAUUAAUGUUUCAGAGAGUGUGUUUUUACUCCAUCAGGCACAUGCAACAACUAGGUAUAUUAAUGUUUCAGAGAGUGUGUUUUUACUCCAUCAGGCACAUGCAACAACUAGGUAUAUUAAUGUUUCAGAGAGUGUGUUUUUACUCCAGCAGACACAUGCAACAACUAGGUAUAUUAAUGUUUCAGAGAGUGUGUUUUUACUCCAGCAGACACAUGCAACAACUAGGUAUAUUAAUGGUUCAGAGAGUGUGUUUUUACUCCAGCAGACACAUGCAACAACUAGGUAUAUUAAUGGUUCAGAGAGUGUGUUUUUACUCCAGCAGACACAUG